rnacentral:rRNA from 1 species
ACAAGCGGUGGAGUAUGUGGUUUAAUUCGAUGCAACGCGAAGAACCUUACCUGGUCUUGACAUCCCGGAGACCCUUAGGAACUAGGGGUGCUUCCAUCUGGAGAAUCUGGAGACAGGUGCUGCAUGGCUGUCGUCAGCUCGUGUCGUGAGAUGUUGGGUUAAGUCCCGCAACGAGCGCAACCCUUGCCUUUAGUUGCCAGCAGUUCGGCUGGGCACUCUAAAGGGACUGCCGGUGUUAAACCGGAGGAAGGUGGGGAUGACGUCAAGUCCUCAUGGCCUUUAUGACCAGGGCUACACACGUACUACAAUGGCCGAUACAAAGGGCAGCGACACUGCGAGGUGAAGCCAAUCCCGUAAAAUCGGUCUCAGUCCGGAUUGGAGUCUGCAACUCGACUCCAUGAAGUUGGAAUCGCUAGUAAUCGUGGAUCAGCAUGCCACGGUGAAUACGUUCCCGGGCCUU